ACUCAUAUUGUUACAAAGGCUCGGGUGUUUAUUACUUUGGACUGGGAGAGGGAGGUGCGCCACCCGGUGGCGAGUUCGUUAUUGCACAUUCAGCAGCUGCAGAAGCAUUAUAGCUCUGGGAGUGGAGACACGCAGCUGCUGCUUACCGUUUCGGUUGAGGUCGAUGUGCGUUCUUGACUUACUGUAAGUAAUUGCUGUUAAAUGUAUCAAGGCAGUUAAUUUAGUAGUUCCGUCUGUAUUACAUGUUGAUGUUAUAUUCAUAAGAGUCGCCGGUUUAAUGCGACCUUUUACUAACUCCACGUGGGUUAGCCUGUUAGCUAUCGGUUGUAGCAUUCAAUAUACGUGUCGUUAGUUUGUGGCCAGCAGAUGUCACUGCAGCAACUUGUACGUGAUAAUGUGUAAGGUGAAUUAACGUGGGCUUUAUUUUCUGUUGUGAUUUAGACCACAUCACCUCACCUCCACAUCCACACAUAUCCAACUCCAAGCCUGUACUACUGCUGUAACAACCAAAUAAAGAGAGCUUCACAAACAGGAAAUCCCCUCCUCAGUUUGUCCUGAUCGACACACAGUGGCGAGUGUAAAUAUUCCACCAGCCUCAAGUUUAGAACGUAGAACCUUCGCUACAAUUUAUGGUCCUUCGAGCCGGAGUGGGACACUUACCACUGUUUCAGCAUGCAGUUCAGCCGUGAAGCAACGAUGAGACCAAAGCGGCAAACCCGCCCGCCUUCCUAUUUACAGGAUUAUGAAACCAACGAUCAGGAACACCGGUUUCAGCCUCUGUUUGAUUAUCGAGGUGUGCGAGCUGAGCCGAGAUGUGAGGAUAGCUCGUAUUCACCGUCGGAGGAGGGAGCUGCCAAGAUGACACCCCUCAGCCCCCCAUCUACCGCAGCCGGAUGUAAGCAGUGGGAAAUCACGGUAGAUGAGUGGGUUGGUUACCCCGAACAGACACUUACCGAACCACAGCGGCGGAAGAGCUUGGCAGAAGAGGAUAACAGAGAUUAUUCUACUGGCUCUCCACAUCACAGGCAGCAGCAGCAGAGCUUCGCACCAUACCACUCGGAGCUGGAGCAGUUAAAGAUGAAAGAAAUCGAAUAUGAGCGGGCUAAAGAAGAAGUACGUUCUGAGUUAGCCGAACUCAGGGAUUUAAAGGAAGAAAUGAGGAGGAGAAUGGGAUAUAUGCCACAGAGUAUGGCUACUUCACAGCAGCGGUUCGAAAUCCCAUCACCGACAUACGCCCCGCCUCCUCCUUCGACAUGGUGGAGUAACGGUGAGGAGGGGGAGGAGGAAUGGCCUGAACCUCCACCGUGGCCCAAGACAGAGGAGGAGGAUGAACCUUCUCCAUCAACCCAGCCUGUCUCGGUCAUGUUGGAAAAGCUGAUGAGUGAUCUACAACUCUUAAAGAAUCGGACCAUGGCACCACAGGGCGGAAAACCACGGUUCAUGAGAUCUGUCCCCACACAAGAAAAGAUGCCGAUAGAUCGUCGGGGAUCAUUGAGGCCAGGAGGCCCGGAUCGACCAACGAGUUUGUAUUCUCCUUCGAUGUUGCCAGUUGUCACAGAACAAACAUAUCAAGGUCCUAGGCCAAGCAUCCCCUACUUCGCUAGACGAGAUCCCAGGGACUUUGCUCGGUUAAAGAUAGCGUUGAUUAAUCUAUUACCACCAGAAGGGACAGAGCUGUUCAAGUACCAGAUCCUGGUGGAUCACCUCAAACUCGAAGAAGCUAAACUCAUAGCAGACUCUUAUUUGAACUCCGCCACCCCAUACUCAGACACUAUGAGGGCUCUAAGUGAGAAAUUCGGCCAGCCACACCAGAUGGCAUUGAACAGGAUUGCCGGUGUAAUGGAUGCUCCAGACGUCCGCCGAGGUGACUCGGUGGCGUUUGAGAGGUUCGCUCUCGAAGUUCAGUCUCUGGUCGGGUUACUCAGGACUUUGGGUCCAGAGGGUGAUGCUGAGCUGAGAUGCGGAUCUCAUGUGGCCCGUUUGUUGAGUAAACUACCUGCAGAGCAGCGUGCAGACUUCCGUCGAGCCAUGUUCCGCCAUCCCAAUGCAGUCUACACGUUAGUGGAUUUCGCUGAAUGGCUCCAGUACGAGACCUGGUGUCAUAAUUCGGACAAUUAUGAUUCCGGAGCAGGAAAUAAAGACAAAGCAGGACAUCAGAAGAAGAGGGUCACGACGGUGCUGCAUGGAACCAAGGACGGUUCCGUUUCCAGGGCUUCGGGGAGCACGGGCAUCAAAUCGAAUCGUUAUUGCCCAUACUGUGAAAGUAAUGAACAUUACCUCAGCCAAUGUACGGGCAUUCAGAGGUUGUCCAAGGACCAACUAUCGCAGUGGAUAAAGGAUCACAACAGAUGCUGGCACUGUGUGAGAUCUCACCAUGCAGCCCAGUGUGAUCUUCGGAAACCCUGUAACCUGUCUCAGGGGAAACAUCUUCAGGUGCUUCACGAUGUGAACACCAGAGACACUAAAGACACCACUAGAGAGGAGAGUUGCCUCAUCAGCACCACUGACCAGCUGUAUUUGGGCCGACCGCUGGUGUACGGCAGAGUUCUGCUGAAGGUGGUCCAGGUCACCUUGCAUCACGGGAAACAGAGCCUCAAAACCUAUGCCCUACUCGAUGAUGGUUCUGAACGUACCAUGUUCCUGGCUCCUGCUGCACACAAGCUUGGUCUGCAGGGCACCCCAGAGACUCUGAAUCUGAGAACCAUAAGGCAGGACAUUCAGACCAUGAGAGGUGCUUCCGUUUCCUUUCAGAUAUCUCCUUCCUUCAGCAAUCGCCGCCGCUUCGCAGUGAAUGGAGCCUUUACGGCCGAUCGCCUGGUCCUGGCAGAACAGUCGUACCCGAUCGACAGACUCCAGAAACAGUUCAAGUAUCUGUCCGAUCUGCCUCUACAUCCUUUCAAGAAUGUGCAGCCUCUGAUCCUCAUUGGGACUGACAACCCUCACCUCAUUACUCCCAUUGAACCGGUUCGGUUGGGUCCAUCGGGAGCACCAGCUGCAGUCAGAACGAGGCUCGGAUGGGCUCUCCAGGGACCAAUGAGAACAGAGGACAGUGGUCUCCAACACUCCCAGUGUUUGUUUACAUCUGCUCCCCCCGCUAAUGCGGAGCUGCUGAGGAAUGUGGAGAAACUCUGGCAGACCGACGUUCUUCCCUACCAGAAAGAGAAGACAGUAACCCGUUCCAAGCUGGACCAAGAAGCUGUAGACCUGUUGGAGAAGAGGACCGAACGGGUGUAUGUUGAUGGGAUUCUCCGUUACGCUACACCACUGCUACGGAAGAAAACCAUGCCUGUCCUCAAAGCCUCUUCUGAAUCGGUGAUGUUCAACUUACGGAGCAAUGAAAGAAGAUUGAGUAAGAACCCAACGAUGGCUAACACAUACCAGGAGGAGAUUCGGAAGCUGGUCCAGGCCGGUAGUGUGGUGAAGUUGGGCCCUCAAGACACUGCAUCAAAGGGGGAGUCGUGGUUCAUUCCUCAUCAUAUGGUGAACCAUAAUAACAAGGACAGGCUGGUGUUCAACUGCUCUCACCAGUACCAGGGCCUUAAUCUGAACGACUUCCAACUACCUGGACCUACCCUCAGUGCAUCACUUAUAGGAGUGUUACUGCGGUUCCGGGAACAUGCCGUCGCCAUCAGCAGCGACAUAAAAGGGAUGUUUCACCAAGUUCGCCUCCUUCCAGAAGAUGGACCCCUCUUAAGGUACGUGUGGCGGGAUCAGGUCAAGGACCGACCACCAGACAUUUAUGAAUGGCAGGUGCUUCCCUUUGGCACCACUUGUAGUCCCUGUUGUGCGACCUAUGCCCUCCAGCGUCACGUCACUGACCAUAGUCAGGAUGGAGAGGAUGUGCGGUUUUCUGUGGAGCGGUGUUUUUACGUCGACAACUGGCUGCAAAGCUUACCAUUCGUGGAUUCAGCGAAGGCCUUGGUGGACAAGCUAAGAGCACUGCUUCUCUCCACAGGAUUCGACCUUCGUCAAUGGUCAAGUAAUGCGAUGGAGGUGAUCAGCCACUUGCCAUGUGAGGCCCGUUCCCCUGCUACAGAGCUCUGGCUGACCCAAGACAAGCACGAUCCAUCUGAAAGCACACUUGGGCUUAGCUGGAACCCUCAGCAAGACCUCAUUGGCUACAAACACAGGCCUCUCAGCUAUGGGACCGUGACCAUGAGGAACAUCUACAAGGUUCUCGCCUCCCAGUACGAUCCUCUGGGUUACAUCCUACCCUACACGACUCGGGCCAAGGUGUUGGUUCGUCAGCUGUGGGAGAAGCGGCGGGAUUGGGAUGACCCGUUGCUCCCCCCGGAUGUACAGCAACUAUGGGCGCAGUGGGAAGGUGAACUCCAACUACUGCCCCAAGUCACCUUACCCAGACAUUACACGCAUGCAGCUGAAGAUGCUUUGAUCAUCAACAGACAAGUACAUAUCUUCUGCGAUGCUUCGGAACAGGUUUAUGGGUCCGUGGCAUACCUCAGGUCUGAGGAUAGUCAGGGACAAAUACACCUAGCCUUCCUCCUCGCUCGCUCACGGGUAGCCCCCAGGCGACAGCUUUCCAUACCUCGGUUGGAGCUUUCUGCAGCCUUAACAGGAGCCCAGCUAGCCAAGCUGUUAAGCGCUGAGCUCACCCUGAAGAUUGACACUACCACCUUGUGGACAGAUUCCACCACGGUGUUGAGAUGGAUACUUUCGGACUCAUGUCGCUAUAAAGUAUUCGUGGGAACCCGAGUGACGGAGAUUCAAGAUUUAACAGACUCACAGUCCUGGCGUUAUGUAGAUUCAGCCAGCAAUCCAGCUGAUGACAUUACCCGAGGUAAGACCUUGCAGGAGUUGUCUGAGCUGAACAGAUGGACAAGAGGACCCCCCUUUUUACUUCAGACUCCAGACUACUGGCCCACGCCACCAGCAAUCCCACUCGAAGAGGAACCCAUAGAACUUUGGAAGUCAGCCUUUUGUGGUGUGACUUCGACAUCUACCUGUCUGAACUCAGAAUCUGAAGCCUACAAGGACUGGCAGGAGUUGCUCGAGUCAACAGCACAGACCCUGCAGGAUGCAGAGGGGACAGAUGGAAAUCUGAGUGCGGAAAAUUAUCGCAAGGCGGAAAGACACCUUAUCAAUAAGAUACAGCACGACAGCUUUCCCGAAGAGAUUAGGCUUCUUAGUUUAGGCAAGCCGGUUGCCAUCAACAGCAGGUUGCAUGCCUUGGCACCCCAGUUGGAUGAAGCAGGAGAAAUCCGAGUAGGUGGCCGAUUGAGGUACGCGACGGAUCUUGAGCUAGGAGCGGUUCAUCCCAUUGUUCUAGAUCCGAACCACCCAUUCACCAGACUGCUAAUACAGGACUACGAUCGACGUUUGUGCCACCCUGGUCCCGAACGAUUGUUCGCUGACAUUCGUCGGAACUUCUGGAUAUUACGAGGAAGAGAAGCGGUUCGACGUCAUCAGUCCAGAUGCUCUGACUGCAGACGAUGGAAGGCCAAGCCUACGGUUCCUCAGAUGGCCGACCUGCCAAUUGCGCAUCUGCGCCUCUUCAAGCCUGCGUUCUACUCCACAGGCACAGACUGCUUCGGACCAUUUCAGGUCAGAAUCGGGAGGCGCAACGAGAAACGAUGGGGCAUAAUCUUCAAGUGUUUGACUACCAGGGCAGUCCAUCUUGAUGUACUUACGCACCUUGAUGUUGACUCCUUUCUUAUGGCCUUAAGGAGAUUUAUAGCCCGUCGGGGUACGCCGGUGGAAAUUCUCUCAGAUCAAGGAACUAACUUCCGUGGAGCGGAACGGGAGCUACAACAGGCCAUGGCAAAGAUGUCUUCGGACCUGCAGCAAUCCCUCGCCAAGCAAAGGAUCGCUUUCAAGUUUAAUCCCCCUGGUGCACCUCACUUUGGUGGAGUGUGGGAGAGAGAAAUACGCUCCGUGAAAACGGCUUUGUAUGCCACCGUCGGGGCUCAACCAUUGCCCGAGGAGGUGCUGAGGACAGUUCUUAUAGAAGUGGAGGGCAUUCUGAACUCGAAGCCAUUAGGCUAUGUUUCCUCCAGUAUCGCUGAUCCUGACCCUGUGACGCCAAAUCAUCUGUUGAUGGGGCGGCCGGAUGGGUCACUGCCUCAGGUCGUGUACCCGGCAACUGAAUUUCCCAGCAGACGUCGCUGGCGGCACUCCCAGGUGCUGGCAGACCAGUUCUGGUCCAGAUUCAUCAGGGAAUACCUUCCCAAUUUACAGGUUAGGCAGAAAUGGCAGACCACUCAAGCUGACCUGAACGAGGAUGCUGUGGUCAUGCUCAUGGACCCCCAACUUCCCAGAGCCUUGUGGCCCGUUGGACGGGUGACUAAGGUGCAUCCCAGCGCUGACGGCCGCAUCAGGUCGGUGGAUGUUAAAGUGAAGGACAGAGUCUACACUCGACCAGUAGCGAGGAUGGUUGUUCUUCCUGCGGCACCCGAAGAAGCCGGCGGUCAGGAUUCAUCAUUGAAGACUUAGUUCGUCGCCUUUGUUUGUAACAAAUGUACUUCAUACAUUUGGGGGCGGCUGUUACAAAGGCUCGGGUGUUUAUUACUUUGGACUGGGAGAGGGAGGUGCGCCACCCGGUGGCGAGUUCGUUAUUGCACAUUCAGCAGCUGCAGAAGCAUUAUAGCUCUGGGAGUGGAGACACGCAGCUGCUGCUUACCGUUUCGGUUGAGGUCGAUGUGCGUUCUUGACUUACUACCACAUCACCUCACCUCCACAUCCACACAUAUCCAACUCCAAGCCUGUACUACUGCUGUAACAACCAAAUAAAGAGAGCUUCACAAACAGGAAAUCCCCUCCUCAGUUUGUCCUGAUCGACACACAGUGGCGAGUGUAAAUAUUCCACCAGCCUCAAGUUUAGAACGUAGAACCUU